GCCUGCGGGGACCCUGAGGCUCCACGUCCUGUGUGCCGUGUGUGAGUGUGCGGGCGGGUGGCUGCUCCUGUGUGGGCAUGAACGGACGCACGUGCCAGUGGGGUUGGAGGGACACGUGUGACCGUGCAGGGGUGUGGCAGUGUGCCCUCUUCUGUGUGCUCCAUUCCAGACCCCAGGAAAAUGCUUCCCGCCCACAGGCACGGCCAGGUCCAGGGCCAGGCCUGGCUCCAGGGGGACAGGCUGCCCAGCUGGGUGGCUUCGUCCAAAGAAGCAAACGAAAGGCAGGCUGGCGAGGAUUCUCGGGUGGUGGUCAGACAUGGUGGAGCCCCGGGGCCGGGGCAGCCUCGGGGUGCUGAGUGCACCUUCCACCUUCUGCCCAGCAAGGUCGGCUUCGCCCCCGCACCAGUCUGGCCCUCGAGCUGGGCUGGCGGGCUCCCUGCUCUGAGGUCGGCAGGCCCACCCAUCUGGGCAGCAUGUGCUUGCAGGAGCAGAUGCACCGGUCAUGGGGACAGGGAGGAGGACGGAUGUGCCCUCACCCCACACUGAGGUCUGAGGGACACCAGAGGGCAAGACCAGGUCCAUCACCACAGUCCCCCAGCUCUGAGCCUGCUGAGAGGGUACUGGGAGCCUCCAGGUAUGUGUGGGAGCAGCUGCACGCCAGAGAGGGUGUUCUCUGUGUGGCCACCAUAGACGGUGUGGCCUCCUCCUCUCCACCCUGGGCAGCAUGAGCCAGAUGGCCGGGCAGUCUGAGGGUCACAGCUGGGCUGUGGCUGCACAGCGGGGCCUGGUCUGUUCUGGGCCCUGGGAGGCCCAGGGACUGGGGACUGCCUGAGCUCUGCUGCUUACGUGUAGAGGGCUGGGACACGGGUCAAGGCCAUUGGACUUCUCGUCAUCACGUCCCGGGUCACCACUAUCACUGAGGUUUUUAACGCUCAGCUCCUCAGAGGAAGGGGCAGGAGGUGCUGGAGAUACAGGGCUCUCUCGCCUGGCCUUGGGGGGCAGUGUCCCCCCUGCCUCCAGUGUCAGCUCUCCCGCAGAUAGCCGUGGCGGUGAGUGGCCUCUGCAGCCUCCCUGAGCACACCCGAGGGCCGGGGGACUGGAGACAGAACAGAGCCUCAAGCUGCCAUGGGUCCAAGGAGGCCCACUAAUGCCGUGCGCCCUGCAAGCUGCCACGGUGCCAGUGCUGUCUCUGCGCCCUCCACAUGACUAGCCACGUGCCUGCAGGAGUGGAACUCGGUGGCCGUGUGCCCUGACUCUGGCCUCCCCUGCUCUUCACAAGCACAUCCCAGGGAGCAGUGUGCAGGGCCUGAGCACCCGGUGGGACAUCGAGGAGCUGUCUUCCCCCAGAUCCCUGGCUCAGCUGAGACCCCAGAGUCCCGGCUCCUCUGGAGGGUCACAGGCCUGAGUUGUGCAGGAUGGCGCCCCCUGGAGGAGAGCAGAGCACAACCGGCCCAGCUCUACAGGGAAGCCUGAGCCUGCUGUCCGCCAGCGCCCGCAGCCCACUCCAGGCGCCUCCCCAACCACCCAAGACGCUAGGUGUGAUCAACAAGUUCCUGAGCAUUCACAAGCUUCACCUAAGCUGGCCAGCCACUGUCCUGGGGGUCUGGGGGCAGUGGUCUUCAUGCCGCCUGCUCCGUGAGGCCUGGGUCCUAUCUUCAGCACUCUGCCCCUGAGCCCUGAGAGUCCACUCGAAGUCCCCGGCUGCAAGCGGGCAGGAAAUGCAUGCACACCCCGGAGCUCCCGACUGGACAAGGCUGGACCUCCGUCUGCCCAGCCAGGAAGAGGACUGAACCCUGUCGCUCACAGGCUUCCAGGAUAGGGCCUGAGGGUGUCUGACCACCAGGACACACCCAGGGGACCUAGGAAGCUCCUCUGACCCUGGGUACUGUCUCCCCCGCCCCCGGCCUUGCCUGUUCUCUCCUCAGCCUCCCCGUUGUCUUUCCAACCCAGUGACUCAGAGCAACCCGAGUGGCUGUGGGUGACUUGAGAAGCCAGAUUUUAACAUCUAUUAAAAUUUCAAUAGAUGUCA